UGUGAUUUUUUUCCAAGCACAUUUUACCAAUUCCAAACCAUAUCAAUCUUAAUAACUACCAUUAUUUUUUAUUUAAUCAUUUAUGAGUGCUAUACAAUAGUCCAGGAAAGCUGGAAGAGAAAAACAGGUCAAGAAGAACUGACAAAAUAAUUGCAAAAUAAUUAGGAAUUAAUGUGAAGAUUAAUUUUUAGUCAAAUCUGCAAGACAGACUUUCAGGAAAGGAGGUGGAAUAAAAAUGAGCUCCUAAAUCUUAAUCCCGGAUUCUGGAAGAUAUAUUCCUCAAACCAUCGGACAAGAGGAGGUGGUGCUGGUCCUUCACGAGUCACUCCAAUCUGUUCAUAAAGCCUAUAUAUAAAGUCUUAAUAUAUAGUAUUUCACAAUACUUCAUGGUAUUCUAAUUAAAUCAUUUUUUGGAAUCUUUGAUUUCUCAGAACCU